UUCACAGUAAAAUUGAGUGGCGGUGGAGGGAUGAUAGAGAAUGAAGGGCGCCACUGCAACCCGAAGCCAACAACGAGCUUGCGGCGGCGAAAGCAGAGGAUUUACAUUGCCAGUUACAGACAAGAGAUCGCGUGGAUGUGACAGUCAGGCGAAUGCUAAUGUCGAAGACCUGUACUGUGAAGGCUCGCCUAAUGUAUGGGUCUUGUCAUUUGGGGUGAG
rnacentral:misc_RNA from 1 species